rnacentral:rRNA from 1 species
UACGUAGGGUGCAAGCGUUGUCCGGAAUUAUUGGGCGUAAAGAGCUCGUAGGCGGUCUGUCGCGUCGGUCGUGAAAACUUGGGGCUUAACCCUGAGCUUGCGGUCGAUACGGGCAUGACUGGAGUUCGGCAGGGGAGACUGGAAUUCCUGGUGUAGUGGUGAAAUGCGCAGAUAUCAGGAGGAACACCGGUGGCGAAGGCGGGUCUCUGGGCCGAUACUGACGCUGAGGAGCGAAAGCGUGGGGAGCGAACAGG